AGAGUUUGAUCCUGGCUCAGGAUGAACGCUGGCGGUAUGCCUAACACAUGCAAGUCGUACGAGAGUUUUUAACUCUAGUGGCGGACGGGUGAGUAACACGUGAGAAUUUGCCUUUAGGAGGGGGAUAACAAUUGGAAACGAAUGCUAAUACCCCAUAUGCUUUUGAGUGAAACGGAUUUAUCCGCCUAGAGAGAAGCUCGCGGCUGAUUAGCUUGUUGGUAAGGUAAGAGCUUACCAAGGCGACGAUCAGUAUCUGGUUUGAGAGGACGAUCAGACACACUGGAACUGAGACACGGUCCAGACUCCUACGGGAGGCAGCAGUGGGGAAUUUUCCGCAAUGGGCGAAAGCCUGACGGAGCAAUACCGCGUGAGGGAAGACUGCCUAUGGGUUGUAAACCUCUUUUUUCAGGGAGGAAUAAAUGACGUGUACCUGAAGAAUAAGCAUCGGCUAACUCCGUGCCAGCAGCCGCGGUAAGACGGAGGAUGCAAGUGUUAUCCGGAAUCACUGGGCGUAAAGCGUCUGUAGGUGGCCUAAUAAGUCAACUGUUAAAUCUUGAGGCUCAACUUCAAAAUCGCAGUCGAAACUAUUAGACUAGAGUAUAGUAGAGGUAAAGGGAAUUUCCAGUGGAGCGGUGAAAUGCGUAGAUAUUGGAAAGAACACCGAUGGCGAAAGCACUUUACUGGGCUAUUACUA
rnacentral:rRNA from 1 species